rnacentral:rRNA from 1 species
AUUGAACGCUGGCGGCAUGCUUAACACAUGCCAGUCGAACGGCAGCAUUGUCUAGCUUGCUAGCCAGCUGGCGCGUGGCGCACGGGUGAGUCACGUGUAGGAAUAUGCCUUGAAGCGGGGGACAACUUGGGGAAACUCAAGUUAAUACCGCAUAAUGUCUGAGGACGAAAGCUGGGGACCUUCGGGCCUGGCGCUUUACGCUUAGCCUGCGUCCGAUUAGCUAGUUGGUGGGGUAAGGGCCUACCAAGGCGACGAUCGGUAGCUGGUCUGAGAGGAUGACCAGCCACACUGGAACUGAGACACGGUCCAGACUCCUACGGGAGGCAGCAGUGGGGAAUCUUGCACAAUGGGGGCAAGCCUGAUCCAGCAAUGCCGCGUGUGUGAAGAAGGUCUGAGGGUUGUAAAGCACUGUCAGUGGGGAGGAGGGUAGGUAGGUGAAGAGCUGAUUAACUGGACGUUACCCACAGAAGAAGCACCGGCUAACUCCGUG